CUAAACGACUCUCGGCAACGGAUAUCUCGGCUCUCGCAUCGAUGAAGAACGUAGCGAAAUGCGAUACUUGGUGUGAAUUGCAGAAUCCCGUGAACCAUCGAGUCUUUGAACGCAAGUUGCGCCCGAAGCCUCUCGGCUGAGGGCACGUCUGCCUGGGCGUC
rnacentral:rRNA from 5 species